AUCGAACGCUGGCGGCAUGCCUAACACAUGCAAGUCGAGCGGAGCGGCUGACGGGCGAGUAAUGCAUAGGUAUCUGCCCGGCAGCGGGGGAUAACGUACGGAAACGGGCGCUAAUACCGCAUACCAUUAGAUGCGCUUAGGUCGGAUCAGCGAGUUGGUGGGGUAAAGGCUUACAAAGGCGCCGACCCGUGACUGGAGUGAGAGGAUGAUCGGUCACACUGGAACUAAGACAGGGUCAGGACUCCUCCGGGGGGCAGCAGUGGGGAAUAUUGGACAAUGGUGGAAAGCCUGAUCCAGCCAUGCGGCGUGUGUGAAAAAGGUCUUCGGAUUGUAAAGCACGUUGAGUUGGGAGACGGUACCAACAGAAUAAGCACCGGCUAACUUCGUGCCAGCAGCCGCGGUAAUAC
rnacentral:rRNA from 1 species